UAAAAAUUUAAUUAAAAAUAUUUAAGUAGUAUUAGUUAAGAUCUUUAAAUUUAAAAAAUUUGGCGGUAUUUUAGUCUAUUCAGAGGAACCUGUUUUGUAAUCGAUAAUCCACGAUGUAUCUUACUUAAAUUUGUUUAGUUUAUAUAUCGUCGUUAAGAGAAUAUUUUAUAAGAAUAAUAAUUUUCAAAAUUUUUAAUUUUAAAGUAUAUCAGAUCAAGAUGUAGCUUAUGUUUAAGUUUAUAAUGGGUUACAAUUAAUCUAUUAUUGGAAAUUAGUUUGUAAUUAAUUUUUUGAAAAUGGAUUUGAUAGUAAAUUUAUAAAGAUUAAUAAAUUGAUUAUAGCUCUAAAAUAUG
rnacentral:rRNA from 1 species